rnacentral:rRNA from 1 species
UACGGAGGGUGCGAGCGUUGUCCGGAAUCACUGGGCGUAAAGGGCGCGUAGGCGGCCUGGUAAGUAGGGGGUGAAAUCCUGCGGCUUAACCGCAGGGCUGCCUUCUAAACUGUCAGGCUCGAGCACGGUAGAGGCAGAUGGAAUUCCCGGUGUAGCGGUGAAAUGCGUAGAUAUCUGGAGGAACACCGGUGGCGAAGGCGGCAUCCUGGACCGGUAUUGACGCUGAGGCGCGAAAGCCAGGGGAGCAAACGGG